rnacentral:rRNA from 1 species
UGGGGAAUAUUGCACAAUGGGCGAAAGCCUGAUGCAGCGACGCCGCGUGAGGGAUGACGGCCUUCGGGUUGUAAACCUCUUUCAGCAGGGAAGAAGCGAAAGUGACGGUACCUGCAGAAGAAGCGCCGGCUAACUACGUGCCAGCAGCCGCGGUAAUACGUAGGGCGCAAGCGUUGUCCGGAAUUAUUGGGCGUAAAGAGCUCGUAGGCGGUUAGUCGCGUCUGCUGUGAAAACUCGAGGCUCAACCUCGGGCUUGCAGUGGGUACGGGCUGACUAGAGUGCGGUAGGGGUGACUGGAAUUCCUGGUGUAGCGGUGGAAUGCGCAGAUAUCAGGAGGAACACCGAUGGCGAAGGCAGGUCACUGGGCCGCAACUGACGCUGAGGAGCGAAAGCAUGGGGAGCGAACAGGAUUAGAUACCCUGGUAGUCCAUGCCGUAAACGUUGGGCACUAGGUGUGGGGUCCAUUCC